UUUCAAACCUUCAGUGGAAUGGGCAGCUGUUACUUUCUGGUCUGCGACCUGUCCUUAUGCUGCCCCUGGAAGCUGAAUUUUUUUCAACCUUGCAAAGAUUGACUAAUCAUUUCUUCCUGAGACAGGAGAAGAAAUGGGAACCCUCCUGUGGCCAAAGCCAGAUCUCAAGGUGAAUGAGGAAGGUCAUCACAGUGCUGGUUCUGAUGAUGGAACUAUUCUCCCCAAAGGUUGCUUACAUUGAAUUGAAGGUACAUUAAACUCGGUUAUAUGUCUUAAUGGGAGAAGAAUCACUGUCAUAAACC
rnacentral:lncRNA from 1 species